ACCAAAGCGUAAAGGUGGAGCUGAAAAGCUCAGGGCCAAAAGGCUCAAAAAUCUAGCCGCAGACGCCGGAAAAUGUGCUAAAAUAACUGACAUGUUCAGUGGAGGUGCUUCGGGAGCCCCCUCCACCUCAGGUGAAUCAAGCACCACCAGCACCAGUGGACAGGGCGAGGAGGCUAGCUGUAGCGAUCCACCCAUGGAGACAGCACAGAUGGUGGAAGGGGGUGACGGUAGUAUUAGCCAUGAACAGGGAGGAGGAGAUGAUGAGUCCGAACCCGAGGCUCAUGGACUGAGUGAGCCGCUGCCGGUGCACCAGAGCUGAUUGGAACUGAAGAGCGCAGACAAGGCUAUGCACCAAGAGCUGAUUGGACUGAAGAGAGCAGAUAAGGCCAGUUCAUCGGCAGCUGCCAG